GACGAACGCUGGCGGCGUGCUUAACACAUGCAAGUCGAACGGAAAGGCCUCUUUCGGGGGGUACUCGAGUGGCGAACGGGUGAGUAACACGUGAGUAACCUGCCCUUGACUUUGGGAUAACUUCAGGAAACUGGGGCUAAUACCGGAUAGGAGCUCCUGCUGCAUGGUGGGGGUUGGAAAGUUUCGGCGGUUGGGGAUGGACUCGCGGCUUAUCAGCUUGUUGGUGGGGUAGUGGCUUACCAAGGCUUUGACGGGUAGCCGGCCUGAGAGGGUGACCGGCCACAUUGGGACUGAGAUACGGCCCAGACUCCUACGGGAGGCAGCAGUGGGGAAUAUUGCACAAUGGGUGGAAGCCUGAUGCAGCAACGCCGUGUGCGGGAUGACGGCCUUCGGGUUGUAAACCGCUUUCGCUCAUGACGGAGCUUUAUGUGACGGUAGUGGGUAAAGAAGCACCGGCUAACUACGUG
rnacentral:rRNA from 1 species